rnacentral:lncRNA from 1 species
CACAGUUCAAUAUGGUAUCAGUUUCAUUAAGUUUUUGUAGUAAUAGAACAAAGACAGCCAUAAAUCAAAGCCCUGUCCUUUCCUAGAUAGGGUCUCCUGGUGUGUUCUGACUGGCUUGCAACUCAUAGAGACCCACCUUCUCCUAUCUCCCACAAGCUGAGAUUAAAGGCUUGAGUCAGCCUGUUUUUCCACAGCAGCCUUAAACUGGGUGUGGUGAUGCACGCCUUUAAUCCCAGCACAUACCAGACAGAGGCAGGAAGACCUUUGUGAGUUUGAGGCCAGCCAGGGCUACAUUAGUGAGACCUUGAGUCAAAUAAAUCAUACACAUAGUUGUCUGUCCCUCUUUUAUUUUUUUUUAAAGACAGGGUUGUACUGUGUUGCCCUGGGUGUUCUGGAACUCACUCUGUAGACCAGGCUGGGAUACACCUGCCUCUGCCUCCUAAGUGCAGUGAUCAAAGGCAUGAACCAAAGAGUCAUCUUUUUUAAAAUUAUAUAUAGGGUUCUGCCUGCAUGUAUGCCUUCAGGCCAGAAGAGGGCACCAGAUCUUACAGAUGGUUGUGAGCCACCAUACGGUUGCUGGAAAUUGAGCUCAUCAGGACUUCUGGAAGAGCAGCCAGUGCUCAUAACCUCUCUCUGAGCCAUCUCUCCAGCCCCCACACAGUAGUCUUUAAGACCUUUUAUUUUAUGUAUGUUUUAUGAAGUGCAUAUAUGUGUAGUACAUGUGUACAGGUUCCCACAGAAGCCAAAUCUCCGAGGAAAUGGAUUUACAGAUAAUUAUGACCUAUCCACUAUGGAUUGUGAGAACCAAACCCAGGUCCUCUAUAAGAGCAGCAAGUGGCCCGGCAGUGGUGGCGCACGCCGUUGAUCCCGGCACUCGGGAGGCAGAGGCAGGCGGAUCUCUGUGAGUUCAAGGCAUGUGCCACCAACGUUUUUUUUUAAAUUUUUUACUUUGCUUUUUUUUUUAAAAGAUUUAUUUAUUUAUUAUGAAUACAAUAUUCUGCCUGCAUGUAUCCAUGCAGGCCAGAAGGGGGCACCAGAUCUCAUUACAGAUGGUUGUGAGCCACCAUGUGGUUGCUGGAAAUUGAACUCAGGAACUCUGGAAGAACAGACAGUGCUCUUAACCUCUGAGCCAUCUCUCCAGCCCAGAAAGUAGUUUCUUACAAUGGAUUCUGUUUCUGGUGAAGAUGCUACAAAUACC